rnacentral:rRNA from 1 species
CCUACGGGGAGCAGCAGUGAGGAAUAUUGGUCAAUGGGCGGAAGCCUGAACCAGCCAAGUCGCGUGAGGGAUUAAGGCCCUGCGGGUCGUAAACCUCUUUUGCCGGGGAGCAGUGGUCCGGACGCGUCCGGACCGGGAGAGUACCCGGAGAAAAAGCAUCGGCUAACACCGUGCCAGCAGCCGCGGUACUACGGAGGCUGCAAGCGUUAUCCGAAUUUAUUGGGUUUAAAGGUUGCUAAGGCGUGCAUUUAAUCCGGCGGUCAAAUGUCGGGGCUAAACCCCGGCUUGCCGUUGAAACUGUGUCCCUUGAGUGCGCGAAGGGUAGGCGGAAUGCGUGGUGUAGCGGUGAAAUGCAUAGAUAUCACGCAGAACUCCGAUCGCGAAGGCAGCCUACCGGCGCGCAACUGACGCUCAUGCACGAAAGCGUGGGUAUCGAACAGGAUUAGAUACCCCAGUAGUC